rnacentral:rRNA from 1 species
GACGAACGCUGGCGGCGUGCUUAACACAUGCAAGUCGAACGGAAAGGCCCUGCUUUUGUGGGGUGCUCGAGUGGCGAACGGGUGAGUAACACGUGAGUAACCUGCCCUUGACUUUGGGAUAACUUCAGGAAACUGGGGCUAAUACCGGAUAGGAUCUCCUGCUGCAUUGUGGGGGUUGGAAAGUUUCGGCGGUUGGGGAUGGACUCGCGGCUUAUCAGCUUGUUGGUGGGGUAGUGGCUUACCAAGGCUUUGACGGGUAGCCGGCCUGAGAGGGUGACCGGCCACAUUGGGACUGAGAUACGGCCCAGACGCCUACGGGAGGCAGCAGUGGGGAAUAUUGCACAAUGGGCGGAAGCCUGAUGCAGCAACGCCGCGUGCGGGAUGACGGCCUUCGGGUUGUAAACCGCUUUCGCCUGUGACGAAGCGUGAGUGACGGUAAUGGGUAAAGAAGCACCGGCUAACUACGUG